CCUACGGGUGGCAGCAGUGAGGAAUAUUGGUCAAUGGGCGCAGUCCUGAACCAGCCAAGCCGCGUGCGGGAAGACUGCCCUAUGGGUUGUAAACCUCUUUUAUCAGGGAAGAAUACUGACUACGUGUCGUCAGAUGCCCGUACCUUAUGAAUAAGCAUCGGCUAACUCCGUGCCAGCAGCCGCGGUAAUACGGAGGAUGCGAGCGUUAUCCGGAUUUAUUGGGUUUAAAGGGUGCGUAGGCGGUAUGUUAAGUUAGUGGUAAAACGUCGGGGCUUCACCUUGAUUGGCCAUUAAAACUGGAAGACUAGAGUACAGACGAGGUAGGCGGAAUAAGUGAAGUAGCGGUGAAAUGCAUAGAUAUAGCGUAGAACCCCGAUAGCGAAGGCAGCUUACCAGACUGUGACUGACGCUGAAGCACGAGAGCGUGGGUAGCGAACAGGAUUAGAUACCCUUGUAGUC
rnacentral:rRNA from 1 species